UACAGCAGGAUCAUAGAGCCACGGUCCUCAGAGAGGCCUCCUGCUCAAAGUUCCUUCACAUUUCUGGUAUCUGGGGCCUACUGGAAAUGCUGUGGAAAACUAGCCUACUGUGUUUCUGUGACCUGCUGGAAGUGCACAGUCUCCAUGCCAAGUUGUGACAACUCACACUGUCUUCAAAUACUGGAAUGGUCUCCUGGAGGAGGAGGGGGAAGCUGCAAGAGCCCCAUUGUCCUAGCAUGCAUGAAACCUUGGGUUCCACUGGUAGCAAAGCCCUGUACAGAAACACAGCUGCCCCGACCUCUUGCUGUUCCGGUCGAGAAUUCCCACAGAAUGGGAAGAGAAAGUAAGCAAGACGGCAGGUUCCAAAUCUUAGCUCUUAGGAGAAUGAGGCAGGAGGCUUUCUACAAGUUCAAGGCCAACCUGACACACAAGACUUCAUCUCAAAAAAUGAAGCAUGCUGAUGCCCCCUGUGUACACCGUGGGUCCUACCUAUGCGACGGGACGGUGGUGACCAGCAUGCAGAAUGAACAGAGACUGCAGUAGGAAACAGUAGGGCUGUGAAGGACCCGCGGCCAUCUACUCCCGUCUGAGGGACGAGCUGUAGACAACUUUCCCCAGAGUCGCCGAACUGGGAAGAGCUGAGUCCACACACCAUACUCCAGCAUAGGCUCGUCUGAGGAAGGCAGAGACGUCUCAAGCCUGUGCCACCUUAGCUGACUAGAGAGGCAGGAGACAUUGCAUCUCAUGAUUUGGCAACACCCAUGGUCUCAGACAUCCUGAGUCUCAGAAUCUGUCAGAUUUAGCUUGGAAGUGGCAAAGGGCCUGGUUAAGCUGCAUGAAGAGGCAGUGAAUCCCCAUCAGAACCAGGAGGAGGACAGAAGUAGCGCUAGCUCUUAAGAAGAUGGAUAUGGUACUUGAUGGUGAACAAGCAUCCGGCCAAGAGUGACUAUUACCCUUGUUACAGCCUCAGCCACCUCAGCUCUGAAGAUGGUCUCCCCUGUGCCUUCUGCCCUGUGCUUACAAAGUCUCUGAAGACAGAUAGUGUCCCCUUAGCCCUGUCACUUGCCCCUUCCUGCACUGACACCCCCUCCCCAGCGCUGCUGGUUCUGGGCCACAAAGGAGGCAAGCAGGGGGUUGCCAUGGUGACCUCAAAGCUGGGCAUUAAGACUCAAAGAGGGAGCUAAACUUUUUUUUUUUUUUCUGCCAGCUAUGGCAGCUAUUCUAAACAUUUACCACUAGGCAAUGACUAAACAUCUGGGAAAGAGUGGUGCUAUUCCUUAACACACUGUACAGAGAAGCUGUCACAACACACCCAUGCAAACCCGGACCUAUAAAAAAAUGUUACA